GAAACAUCUAAGUACCCGGAGGAAGAGAAAGAAAAAUCGAUUUCCUAAGUAGCGGCGAGCGAACGGGAAAGAGCCCAAACCAGAAACUUGUUUCUGGGGUUGUGGAUAGAUCAUAAAAGAAGAGGUAUCUUAAUCGAAGAGGGCUGGAACGCCCUACCAUAGAAGGUAAUAGUCCUGUAGAUAAAAAGAGAAAACUUUAAGAUCUAAUCCAGAGUACCACGAGACACGUGAAACCUUGUGGGAAGCAGGGAGGACCACCUCCCAAGGCUAAAUACUACCUAGUGACCGAUAGUGAAGCAGUACCG
rnacentral:rRNA from 1 species